rnacentral:rRNA from 1 species
GUAAAGAGCUCGUAGGUGGUUUGUCGCGUUGUUCGUGAAAACUCACAGCUUAACUGUGGGCGUGCGGGCGAUACGGGCAGACUAGAGUACUGCAGGGGAGACUGGAAUUCCUGGUGUAGCGGUGGAAUGCGCAGAUAUCAGGAGGAACACCGGUGGCGAAGGCGGGUCUCUGGGCAGUAACUGACGCUGAGGAGCGAAAGCGUGGGGAGCGAACAGGAUUAGAUACCCUGGUAGUCCACGCCGUAAACGAUGGGUACUAGGUGUGGGUUUCCUUCCUUGGGAUCCGUGCCGUAGCUAACGCAUUAAGUACCCCGCCUGGGGAGUACGGCCGCAAGGCUAAAACUCAAAGGAAUUGACGGGGGCCCGCACAAGCGGCGGAGCAUGUGGAUUAAUUCGAUGCAACGCGAAGAACCUUACCUGGGUUUGACAUGCACAGGACGCGUCUAGAGAUAGGCGUUCCCUUGUGGCCUGUGUGCAGGUGGUGCAUGGCUGUCGUCAGCUCGUGUCGUGAGGUGUUGGGUUAAGUCCCGCAACGAGCGCAACCCCCGUCUCAUGUUGCCAGCGGGUAAUGCCGGGGACUCGUGAGAGACUGCCGGGGUCAACUCGGAGGAAGGUGGGGAUGACGUCAAGUCAUCAUGCCCCUUAUGUCCAGGGCUUCACAUAUGCUACAAUGGCCGGUACAAAGGGCUGCGAUGCCGCAAGGUUAAGCGAAUCCUUUUAAAGCCGGUCUCAGUUCGGAUCGGGGUCUGCAACUCGACCCCGUGAAGUCGGAGUCGCU